GACGAACCGUCCAAACGUUAUUCGGAAUUACUGGGCUUAAAGGGUGCGUAGGCGGCCUGACAAGUUGGGUGUGAAAUACCUCGGCUCAACCGAGGAAUGGCGCUCAAAACUGUAAGGCUAGAGGAAGAUAGAGGUGAGCGGAACUUAAGGUGGAGCGGUGAAAUGCGUUGAUAUCUUAAGGAACACCCGUGGCGAAAGCGGCUCACUGGAUCUUUUCUGACGCUGAUGCACGAAAGCUAGGGGAGCAAACGGG
rnacentral:rRNA from 1 species